UCCCAACGAACCCUGAAUUUCGUGUCCGACCGUCCAUCUUACUUAAAAAAUUAUGAAAAAAUUUAAAAAAUAUGGCACGCAUAAAGUAUUAAUCAUAUUUUAUCAUCUAACAACAAUGAAAAUACUAAUUAUAAAAAAAUUUCAUAUAAGACGGACAGUCAAAUAUUGACACGGAAACCCAGAGUUUAUCUUUUU
rfam:Oryza glaberrima chromosome 6 Oglab06_0025_7, whole genome shotgun sequence.